rnacentral:piRNA from 1 species
UGACUAAACGUUCUGCCAGCCCAUUUGU